UUAAGCGACUAAGCGUACACGGUGGAUGCCCUGGCAGUCAGAGGCGAUGAAGGACGUGCUAAUCUGCGAUAAGCGUCGGUAAGGUGAUAUGAACCGUUAUAACCGGCGAUUUCCGAAUGGGGAAACCCAGUGUGUUUCGACACACUAUCAUUAACUGAAUCCAUAGGUUAAUGAGGCGAACCGGGGGAACUGAAACAUCUAAGUACCCCGAGGAAAAGAAAUCAACCGAGAUUCCCCCAGUAGCGGCGAGCGAACGGGGAGCAGCCCAGAGCCUGAAUCAGUGUGUGUGUUAGUGGAAGCGUCUGGAAAGGCGUGCGAUACAGGGUGACAGCCCCGUACACAAAAAUGCACAUGCUGUGAGCUCGAUGAGUAGGGCGGGACACGUGGUAUCCUGUCUGAAUAUGGGGGGACCAUCCUCCAAGGCUAAAUACUCCUGACUGACCGAUAGUGAACCAGUACCGUGAGGGAAAGGCGAAAAGAACCCCGGCGAGGGGAGUGAAAAAGAACCUGAAACCGUGUACGUACAAGCAGUGGGAGCACGCUUAGGCGUGUGACUGCGUACCUUUUGUAUAAUGGGUCAGCGACUUAUAUUCUGUAGCAAGGUUAACCGAAUAGGGGAGCCGAAGGGAAACCGAGUCUUAACUGGGCGUUAAGUUGCAGGAUAUAGACCCGAAACCCGGUGAUCUAGCCAUGGGCAGGUUGAAGGUUGGGUAACACUAACUGGAGGACCGAACCGACUAAUGUUGAAAAAUUAGCGGAUGACUUGUGGCUGGGGGUGAAAGGCCAAUCAAACCGGGAGAUAGCUGGUUCUCCCCGAAAGCUAUUUAGGUAGCGCCUCGUGAAUUCAUCUCCGGGGGUAGAGCACUGUUUCGGCAAGGGGGUCAUCCCGACUUACCAACCCGAUGCAAACUGCGAAUACCGGAGAAUGUUAUCACGGGAGACACACGGCGGGUGCUAACGUCCGUCGUGAAGAGGGAAACAACCCAGACCGCCAGCUAAGGUCCCAAAGUCAUGGUUAAGUGGGAAACGAUGUGGGAAGGCCCAGACAGCCAGGAUGUUGGCUUAGAAGCAGCCAUCAUUUAAAGAAAGCGUAAUAGCUCACUGGUCGAGUCGGCCUGCGCGGAAGAUGUAACGGGGCUAAACCAUGCACCGAAGCUGCGGCAGCGACACUAUGUGUUGUUGGGUAGGGGAGCGUUCUGUAAGCCUGUGAAGGUGUGCUGUGAGGCAUGCUGGAGGUAUCAGAAGUGCGAAUGCUGACAUAAGUAACGAUAAAGCGGGUGAAAAGCCCGCUCGCCGGAAGACCAAGGGUUCCUGUCCAACGUUAAUCGGGGCAGGGUGAGUCGACCCCUAAGGCGAGGCCGAAAGGCGUAGUCGAUGGGAAACAGGUUAAUAUUCCUGUACUUGGUGUUACUGCGAAGGGGGACGGAGAAGGCUAUGUUGGCCGGGCGACGGUUGUCCCGGUUUAAGCGUGUAGGCUGGUUUUCCAGGCAAAUCCGGAAAAUCAAGGCUGAGGCGUGAUGACGAGGCACUACGGUGCUGAAGCAACCAAAUGCCCUGCUUCCAGGAAAAGCCUCUAAGCAUCAGGUAACAUCAAAUCGUACCCCAAACCGACACAGGUGGUCAGGUAGAGAAUACCAAGGCGCUUGAGAGAACUCGGGUGAAGGAACUAGGCAAAAUGGUGCCGUAACUUCGGGAGAAGGCACGCUGAUAUGUAGGUGAAGCGACUUGCUCGUGGAGCUGAAAUCAGUCGAAGAUACCAGCUGGCUGCAACUGUUUAUUAAAAACACAGCACUGUGCAAACACGAAAGUGGACGUAUACGGUGUGACGCCUGCCCGGUGCCGGAAGGUUAAUUGAUGGGGUUAGCCGCAAGGCGAAGCUCUUGAUCGAAGCCCCGGUAAACGGCGGCCGUAACUAUAACGGUCCUAAGGUAGCGAAAUUCCUUGUCGGGUAAGUUCCGACCUGCACGAAUGGCGUAAUGAUGGCCAGGCUGUCUCCACCCGAGACUCAGUGAAAUUGAACUCGCUGUGAAGAUGCAGUGUACCCGCGGCAAGACGGAAAGACCCCGUGAACCUUUACUAUAGCUUGACACUGAACAUUGAGCCUUGAUGUGUAGGAUAGGUGGGAGGCUUUGAAGUGUGGACGCCAGUCUGCAUGGAGCCGACCUUGAAAUACCACCCUUUAAUGUUUGAUGUUCUAACGUUGACCCGUAAUCCGGGUUGCGGACAGUGUCUGGUGGGUAGUUUGACUGGGGCGGUCUCCUCCUAAAGAGUAACGGAGGAGCACGAAGGUUGGCUAAUCCUGGUCGGACAUCAGGAGGUUAGUGCAAUGGCAUAAGCCAGCUUGACUGCGAGCGUGACGGCGCGAGCAGGUGCGAAAGCAGGUCAUAGUGAUCCGGUGGUUCUGAAUGGAAGGGCCAUCGCUCAACGGAUAAAAGGUACUCCGGGAUAACAGGCUGAUACCGCCCAAGAGUUCAUAUCGACGGCGGUGUUUGGCACCUCGAUGUCGGCUCAUCACAUCCUGGGGCUGAAGUAGGUCCCAAGGGUAUGGCUGUUCGCCAUUUAAAGUGGUACGCGAGCUGGGUUUAGAACGUCGUGAGACAGUUCGGUCCCUAUCUGCCGUGGGCGCUGGAGAACUGAGGGGGGCUGCUCCUAGUACGAGAGGACCGGAGUGGACGCAUCACUGGUGUUCGGGUUGUCAUGCCAAUGGCACUGCCCGGUAGCUAAAUGCGGAAGAGAUAAGUGCUGAAAGCAUCUAAGCACGAAACUUGCCCCGAGAUGAGUUCUCCCUGACUCCUUGAGAGUCCUGAAGGAACGUUGAAGACGACGACGUUGAUAGGCCGGGUGUGUAAGCGCAGCGAUGCGUUGAGCUAACCGGUACUAAUGAACCGUGAGGCUUAACCUU
rnacentral:rRNA from 1 species